rnacentral:rRNA from 1 species
AUUGAACGCUGGCGGCAUGCCUUACACAUGCAAGUCGAACGGCAGCACGGGAGCAAUCCUGGUGGCGAGUGGCGAACGGGUGAGUAAUAUAUCGGAACGUGCCCAAUCGUGGGGGAUAACGCAGCGAAAGCUGUGCUAAUACCGCAUACGAUCUACGGAUGAAAGCGGGGGAUCGCAAGACCUCGCGCGAGUGGAGCGGCCGAUAUCAGAUUAGCUAGUUGGUGAGGUAAAGGCUCACCAAGGCGACGAUCUGUAGCUGGUCUGAGAGGACGACCAGCCACACUGGAACCGAGACACGGUCCAGACUCCUACGGGAGGCAGCAGUGGGGAAUUUUGGACAAUGGGCGCAAGCCUGAUCCAGCAAUGCCGCGUGCAGGAUGAAGGCUUUCGGGUUGUAAACUGCUUUUGUACGGAGCGAAACGGCUCUCUUUAAUACAGGGGGCUAAUGACGGUACCGUAAGAAUAAGCACCGGCUAACUACGUGCCAGCAGCCGCCGUAACAC